rnacentral:rRNA from 1 species
UACAGAGGUGGCAAGCGUUGUUCGGAAUUACUGGGCGUAAAGGGCGCGUAGGCGGCCUACUAAGUCAGACGUGAAAUCCCCCGGCUUAACCUGGGAACUGCGUCUGAUACUGGAAGGCUUGAGGAUGGGAGAGGGAUGUAGAAUUCCAGGUGUAGCGGUGAAAUGCGCAGAUAUCAGGAGGAACACCAGCGGCGAAGGCGGCGCUCUGGGCCGGUACUGACACUGAGGAGCGAAAGCGUGGGUAGCAAACAGG